GGAGAAGUACCCAAGUGGCUGAAGGGGCUCCCCUGCUAAGGGAGUAGGCCGUUCCGCGGCGCGAGGGUUCAAAUCCCUCCUUCUCCG
rnacentral:tRNA from 3 species